rnacentral:pre_miRNA from 1 species
UCUUACGGCUGAGCAAAGAAAGUGGUUUCUUGAGAUAGAAUCAACUUCUGCUGAAGAUGCUGUGAA